UAUUUUCAGAUCUAUGCAACGUAAAACUUGAGCCCCCAUUUUGUUAAAAUUUAUAGAGGCUCUCUAGUAGGCUUUUUUUGAAAUCAUUAAGUGUUUCUUGCAGCCGGUUCUCAAUUCUGAUUUCCAAUGCUUCCAUUUGUGCUUUCAUUGAGUUAUCGAUGGCCAUUUUGUAAGACUGCAAAUCUGUAAUCUCAACUCUUGUUUCU
rnacentral:lncRNA from 1 species